CACUUGAAAUCGAAAGUGAAAGUAAAGCUGAACAGCAGCUCGACGCCUGAACCCAUCUUCAUGGGCUCAUUGUGAUCAGUUUCAGUAAAGAUGGCGACGAGACCUGAAACACUUCCUGAGAUGUCAGCGAUCAGCUCCAGUCCAGAUGAUCCAGUGAUCCGGAUUCUCCUGAUGGGCAGAAACGCUUCUGGGAAAACCUCAUCAGGGAUCACUUUACUGGGAGAAAAUGGAUUUAUAAUGAGUCUGAAGUUUGUGAGGAGAAAAUGUAGGUUGAUGACAACUAGGUGAACGUGACUGAUUCUUCAAAAUGUGCAUAAUAUCGGCCUACUCGUCUCUGGGACCGAAGAAGAAACUUAGAAGUGCACCUCCCACUUUGAAAAACCUGCUGAUCUCCAACGGGAUUGAGUGGCGGAGGAACAGCAAAUCACACGAGUGAACUGGACCGGAAUAUUCAAACUCAUGGUCUUGUAGCAGAGGCUGCCGCCGGGCGC